rnacentral:lncRNA from 1 species
CGAGCCGCCCAGCCCCGCGCCUGGCGUACCUCCGCCGUCGCCUGCGCCGCCCAGCCCCGCGCCUGGCGUGCCUCCGCCAUCGCCUGUUCCGCCCAGCCCUGCCCCCGGCGUGCCUCCGCCGUCGCCUGCGCCGCCCAGCCCCGCGCCUGGCGUGCCUCCGCCGUCGCCUGCGCCGCCCAGCCCCUCGCCUGGCGUGCCUCCGCCGUCGCCUGCGCCGCCCAGCCCCUCGCCUGGCGUGCCUCCGCCAUCGCCCGAGCCGCCCAGCCCCGCGCCUGGCGUGCCUCCGCCGUCGCCCGAGCCGCCCAGCCCCGCGCCUGGCGUGCCUCCGCCAUCGCCUGAGCCGCCCAGCCCCGCGCCUGGCGUGCCUCCGCCAUCGCCCGAGCCGCCCAGCCCCGCGCCUGGCGUGCCUCCGCCGUCGCCUGCGCCGCCCAGCCCCUCGCCUGGCGUGCCUCCGCCAUCGCCCGAGCCGCCCAGCCCCGCGCCUGGCGUGCCUCCGCCGUCGCCCGAGCCGCCCAGCCCCGCGCCUGGCGUGCCUCCGCCGUCGCCCGAGCCGCCCAGCCCCGCGCCUGGCGUGCCUCCGCCAUCGCCUGAGCCGCCCAGCCCCGCGCCUGGCGUGCCUCCGCCGUCGCCCGAGCCGCCCAGCCCCGCGCCUGGCGUGCCUCCGCCGUCGCCUGCGCCGCCCAGCCCCGCGCCUGGCGUGCCUCCGCCGUCGCCUGCGCCGCCCAGCCCCGCGCCUGGCGUGCCUCCGCCGUCGCCCGAGCCGCCCAGCCCCGCGCCUGGCGUGCCUCCGACGUCGCCUGCGCCGCCCAGCCCCGCGCCUGGCGUGCCUCCGCCGUCGCCUGCGCCGCCCAGCCCUGCCCCCGGCGUGCCUCCGCCGUCGCCCGAGCCGCCCAGCCCCGCGCCUGGCGUACCUCCGCCGUCGCCUGCGCCGCCCAGCCCCGCGCCUGGCGUACCUCCGCCGUCGCCUGCGCCGCCCAGCCCUGCCCCCGGCGUGCCUCCGCCGUCGCCUGCGCCGCCCAGCCCCGCGCCUGGCGUGCCUCCGCCUUCGCCCGAGCCGCCCAGCCCCGCGCCUGGCGUGCCUCCGCCAUCGCCCGAGCCGCCCAGCCCCGCGCCUGGCGUGCCUCCGCCGUCGCCUGCGCCGCCCAGCCCCUCGCCUGGCGUGCCUCCGCCAUCGCCCGAGCCGCCCAGCCCCGCGCCUGGCGUGCCUCCGCCGUCGCCUGCGCCGCCCAGCCCCUCGCCUGGCGUGCCUCCGCCAUCGCCCGAGCCGCCCAGCCCCGCGCCUGGCGUGCCUCCGCCGUCGCCCGAGCCGCCCAGCCCCGCGCCUGGCGUGCCUCCGCCAUCGCCCGAGCCGCCCAGCCCCGCGCCUGGCGUGCCUCCGCCGUCGCCUGCGCCGCCCAGCCCCGCGCCUGGCGUGCCUCCGCCGUCGCCUGCGCCGCCCAGCCCCGCGCCUGGCGUGCCUCCGCCGUCGCCUGCGCCGCCCAGCCCCGCGCCUGGCGUGCCUCCGCCGUCGCCCGAGCCGCCCAGCCCCGCGCCUGGCGUGCCUCCGACGUCGCCUGCGCCGCCCAGCCCCGCGCCUGGCGUGCCUCCGCCGUCGCCUGCGCCGCCCAGCCCUGCCCCCGGCGUGCCUCCGCCGUCGCCCGAGCCGCCCAGCCCCGCGCCUGGCGUACCUCCGCCGUCGCCUGCGCCGCCCAGCCCCGCGCCUGGCGUACCUCCGCCGUCGCCUGCGCCGCCCAGCCCUGCCCCCGGCGUGCCUCCGCCGUCGCCUGCGCCGCCCAGCCCCGCGCCUGGCGUGCCUCCGCCUUCGCCCGAGCCGCCCAGCCCUGCCCCCGGCGCCACUCCGCCGUCGCCCGAGCCGCCCAGCCCCUCGCCUGGCGUGCCNNNNNNNNNNNNNNNNNNNNNNNNNNNNNNNNNNNNNNNNNNNNNNNNNNNNNNNNNNNNNNNNNNNNNNNNNNNNNNNNNNNNNNNNNNNNNNNNNNNNNNNNNNNNNNNNNNNNNNNNNNNNNNNNNNNNNNNNNNNNNNNNNNNNNNNNNNNNNNNNNNNNNNNNNNNNNNNNNNNNNNNNNNNNNNNNNNNNNNNNNNNNNNNNNNNNNNNNNNNNNNNNNNNNNNNNNNNNNNNNNNNNNNNNNNNNNNNNNNNNNNNNNNNNNNNNNNNNNNNNNNNNNNNNNNNNNNNNNNNNNNNNNNNNNNNNNNNNNNNNNNNNNNNNNNNNNNNNNNNNNNNNNNNNNNNNNNNNNNNNNNNNNNNNNNNNNNNNNNNNNNNNNNNNNNNNNNNNNNNNNNNNNNNNNNNNNNNNNNNNNNNNNNNNNNNNNNNNNNNNNNNNNNNNNNNNNNNNNNNNNNNNNNNNNNNNNNNNNNNNNNNNNNNNNNNNNNNNNNNNNNNNNNNNNNNNNNNNNNNNNNNNNNNNNNNNNNNNNNNNNNNNNNNNNNNNNNNNNNNNNNNNNNNNNNNNNNNNNNNNNNNNNNNNNNNNNNNNNNNNNNNNNNNNNNNNNNNNNNNNNNNNNNNNNNNNNNNNNNNNNNNNNNNNNNNNNNNNNNNNNNNNNNNNNNNNNNNNNNNNNNNNNNNNNNNNNNNNNNNNNNNNNNNNNNNNNNNNNNNNNNNNNNNNNNNNNNNNNNNNNNNNNNNNNNNNNNNNNNNNNNNNNNNNNNNNNNNNNNNNNNNNNNNNNNNNNNNNNNNNNNNNNNNNNNNNNNNNNNNNNNNNNNNNNNNNNNNNNNNNNNNNNNNNNNNNNNNNNNNNNNNNNNNNNNNNNNNNNNNNNNNNNNNNNNNNNNNNNNNNNNNNNNNNNNNNNNNNNNNNNNNNNNNNNNNNNNNNNNNNNNNNNNNNNNNNNNNNNNNNNNNNNNNNNNNNNNNNNNNNNNNNNNNNNNNNNNNNNNNNNNNNNNNNNNNNNNNNNNNNNNNNNNNNNNNNNNNNNNNNNNNNNNNNNNNNNNNNNNNNNNNNNNNNNNNNNNNNNNNNNNNNNNNNNNNNNNNNNNNNNNNNNNNNNNNNNNNNNNNNNNNNNNNNNNNNNNNNNNNNNNNNNNNNNNNNNNNNNNNNNNNNNNNNNNNNNNNNNNNNNNNNNNNNNNNNNNNNNNNNNNNNNNNNNNNNNNNNNNNNNNNNNNNNNNNNNNNNNNNNNNNNNNNNNNNNNNNNNNNNNNNNNNNNNNNNNNNNNNNNNNNNNNNNNNNNNNNNNNNNNNNNNNNNNNNNNNNNNNNNNNNNNNNNNNNNNNNNNNNNNNNNNNNNNNNNNNNNNNNNNNNNNAGCCACCCAGCCCUGCGCCGCCGCCGACCCCGCCUUCGCCUGCGCCACCCAGCCCUGCGCCUCGGUUGCCUCCAAACCCUGCACCUCCCUCGCCAGUGCCUCCAUCGCCUGCGCCACCUAGCCCGGAGCCUCCGAGCCCUACGCCUACGGGACCUCCAAACCCUGCUCCUUACUCGCCCUCGCCACCUACCCCUGCGCCGCCGUCGCCUGUUCCACCCAGCCCUGCGCCGCUGGAACCUCCAAAUCCCACACCUGCCUCGCCUGAGCCUCCCAGCCCUUCCCCGCUAUCGCCAACUUCCCCCAGCCCUGCGCCUGUGGAGCCUCCGAGCCCCGCGCCUCUCUCACCAGAGCCGCCUAUCUUAGCGCCACCAUCGCCGGCACCGCCCAGUCCCGCGCCUUUGACGCCGCCCAGCCCAUCUCCGUUGCCUCCACCAGUUACGAUUUGCGCAUCUUGCGUGGAAUUCCAGCUGAGUAACAGCCCUUUCGCAUCGACUUCCUUCACGUUUGAUUCAAGCACAUGUGCCAGCCUGGAGGCCUUGGUUGCUGACGAUCUUGACCUACUUCUUACUGGGAGCGGAUUGGUAGUUGAGACGCCUUUUGCGAUCUCAAUAUGUGAUUCGACCGCCGUUCGUAUUUGCGGGGCUUAUAGCCCUUCGUCGGUCAUUGACAUAUCACUUGAUCUGGAGCUUUGGCUGGAAGCUGCAAGCGCAAGCAAUGUCUGCAACGGGGUGUCCAUCCGUGCAGGGGCCAUUUUAGACCCGAACUUUACUACCGGCUCUGCUUCACCUGUAUGUUUGACUGGAGCUGCGCAACGCGACUGUGCGCUCGAAUUGCCGCCCUCUCCGGACCCUCCGUCUCCCGAGCCACCCUCUUCGCCGGCUCCGCCGCCACCGGCCACCAUUGCCUCAUUCUUACCUCCACCGCCUCCUCCACCGCCACCUGAGAGCCCGCCGCCACCACCUCCACCGCCACCCGAUACCCCGCCACAGCCUCCACCUUCGCCGCCGCCACCGCCACCCGACGCUCCUCCUCCACCCCCGCCGGAUGCGCCGCCCCUGCCCCCAAGCCCGCCUCCACCACCUUCACCACCUCCACCUCGCCCGCCGCCGACCGGCCAGGUGCGUGCUUACCUGUUUGUUGAGCGCUUCCCUUCACCACCGCCACCUCGCCCGGAGGAUGUAGAUGAUGUUGCAUUCUUUACUGACAAAACCGCGUUUCUUCUGAUCUUUCUUUCAGGGCCUUUUUGGGCAGCCCCCUCUUCGAAACAUUCCGCCGUUUGCGCCGGAUGCACCACCGCCCUCAGCACCGCCGCAAGAUUGUGCUUAUAAAGGCCCAUCCACCGCUACGGACGGGUGAGUUUCGGGGGCGGCAGGCACGGAAAAUGUUGUGGGGUCAUUCGCUCGCUCCCAGGCUCUUUCGCUGCAGUCACUUGAUCGAAGCGCCUGUAUACAUGUUGAUCGCCACUGGUGCUCCUAACCUGCAAUCUCCCUCGCACUGCCUAGCUCUUACUGUGUCCACACGCACGCACGCAGGGCCCCUCCUGGAUCUCGGUCGUGUGGAAUGCAGGCCUCAUGCCUAGACGUCAUAAUGGACUCCUCGGAAUGCAUGUACCGUACAACAACCGGUCGCAAGUAUUUGUGUAAGCGCCGAUUAAUGCAUGAUGCCAUGUUGUUUUGUCUAAUUGAAACCGUCUUAUCAAAACCCAAAGAAAAUGUUAAAGCCGCCCUGCGCAUGCAUUCAUGUUUAGGGAGCCUGCCGCGUGAUGUCUCGUUCGUCGCCCCAUACGUGCGUGCAGAUUGCCCCGUGCACUUGACGUAUCCGCGUGAGGGGAGCAUGUGCGAGAUUACCUCCGCCGCGAGGGCGUCAUCACCGCCGCCCAGCGGGCGCAACCGCGGCGGCAGCACCACUGCCGCCGGCGGUGACACCAGGGCCAGCACGGGCGCCAUCGUUGCGGCGGGCAGCAGCAGCAGUAGCAGCGCCGGAACCAGCGCCGUCGAGAUUGUCGAAAUUGACAUCGCCUACUCAGACGUGCUCGUAUGCGCCGGGGACCGGCUGGGAACCGUCAUCGAGGGCCCCGGCGGAGUGCCUGUACCCGGGGGCGUCAACCAGGUGAGCCUGGAAGCUGGGGGCGGCAGGGGAACACAUGAUGUCCUCCGCGACCGCCGCCACCGCGGCGUUGGCAGAAGCAUUCCCAGCAUUACGCGGAUGCAGCAUGCGCGCCUUUAGUUGUUCCACGGAUUAUCAGCGAGAGGCAUGCAUGCACGCAGGCCGACACAUGUACUUGGCUCGCUCGCCAGCACACAAGCCCUCUUUCCACUUUCCGCCCUACCUUCUCAUCAACGCACUGCAGGUCAUGUGGCUUCCCUCGUCCAACUACACGCAAUGGGCACGCUGGGAAGCUGACGAUCUGUCCCCUGCGCUGAUCACGUUCUCCAUCCGCAACGGCAACAAGGCAUGCGCGGCAAACAGCAACCCGACCCAGAUCCUGGUCAACGGUGCGUUUUAUUUGGCUGCUGGUUUUGCUGGCACGGUUUGCUGGCAUGACCCUUAGUUGCUUGCGAUGGUGGACUCCUGCUGGAUGCAUGAAACCUUGAGAAUCAAAAGCAGAAACCGCAGACCAAUAUAAAUGCCCACCUGAAAGCUCUUAUCUAUUUCAUCUGAAGAACAACGCAACCCACGCAGGCAUGACGGCCACGUGCAGCAAUCCACGCUAUGAUCCAGACAGCGGCGCAGUGGCAGGCUGCCAGUCCAAUGACGGCACCGUAUUUAACGAAUGGUGAGCAUAAAAAUAAUAAAUAAUAAGGAAAAGAGGCGGCGGGUCAGAGUCAGCCGGCCCUGCCGGCGAUGUCCGAGAAAUGAGGUACCUGCUGUUGCCUCAGACAUUACACCUGAUUACACCUGGCGUGGGCGCGCGCGGCGCAGCCCACUUUUCCUGUGAGAGGCAGAGCACUUGUCAACGAAUGGGUGAUUGACGCAGGAUUCUUUGAAGCGCACUUUCACGUUCUCGUUUCCGUCUCUGACUUCCAUCCACCCCACCACUGCCAAUUCUGACAUGCCUCGCUUCUCCUGCCCUUCAGCCUCUGGACCAUCACCGUCCCACGCCCCGGCGGCAUUGGCUGGACGUCUGCCGUGUGCGUAAGAGACUCGCCCAGCCCGCCCUCCCCCGCACCCAGGCCACCGCCGCGCCCCGGCGCCAGCCCAAACAUCCGGGCGCCUGCUGCUCCGCCCGACCCCUGCGUGCUUCAGGGUCCUUCCAGCGAUGGGGGCGGCCUUUCCAACGCAAUCGCAUGCGGCACCCAGGGUUCGUGCCUGGACAUCUACUACAACAGCGCCGACUGCAAAUACCAAACCCUGAGCGGUGAUCCGUUCGCUUCCCAGCAGUACUUAAUGUGCCCAAUCUGCCUAACCUUUCCUCGACCGGGAUCGCCUUGCGCGCUGAAUGCGCUCACUCCUAUUGACUACGUGUGCGCCGGCGAUGAGAACUCCCUCGUGAUUGACGGCGUGACGGGGCAGCCAGUCGUGGGUGGCGGGAACAUCAAGCGCGGCUGGGAGGAGGGCACGCGCUACUGCCAAUGGGCGCGAUGGUCCAGCGACGACAUGGCCCCACAGACAAUCGCAUUCAGGUGCGUGUAGGGCGCGGGCACGGAUGGGUGCGGGGCCUUGCAUGCACGCACCUGAUGUAUGAUGAAACGAUUAUUACGCUCUGCGCUUGCGCGGUUUUGCUUGCAGCAUCAAGAAUGGCGCCAACCGUUGCAUACGGCGCAACAGCAUCGACAUUACAGUGCGCGGCUUGACGGCGUCAUGCGGCGCACCCCGUGUAAACCCAUUCAAUGGCUUCGCGGGCUGCGCGGGCAAUGACGACGUGGACAAUGAGUGUCUGUGGAACAUCACGGUACGCUAACGAGGGGCAGGCGUGGACGGGAGCGGAUUGGAUGGAAACAAGCGCGCGCGAGGCCAAGGCUUGUCUUGGGACCCACUGACAUCUGCGCCGAUAACAUCUGCGCUGCUUAACCGUGUGCACAUCUGGUUCCUGUUAGCUGUGGGCUGCCAAUAGCUUGCUCCAAGUCGUUUGGAAUUGUGGUAGCGCUCUCACCAAGGACGUGCGUGCGUGCUCGCUUGUCGUGGAUUGCAUGCAGGUGCCACGCCCCGGUGGAGUGGGCUGGACAGGGAAUGUGUGCGUCACGCCGCCGCCACCCAUGCCACCGUCUCCAAAGCCGCCACGCCCGGGCGCGAAGCCCAGCAAGGGCAAUCCGCCCGUACCGCCCUCUCCGACCCCUCCGCGCCCGCCCAAGCCAGUUGCAAAGCCUGGAGGCAGAAGUCCAGCCAACCUCGUCCCACCACCGCCACCACCGCCCUCUUCGCACCGAAUACCGUUUCCUUUCUGCGCGUAAGUUUUGGUAUUGCGCCAUAAGGGUUGCUGGGAUUCUUGGCAUUCUUGCUGUACGUGCUUGCGUGCGCACUUGGUACGUUCUUUGUGCGGUAUACGGUACGAAUGUGUUUAUCUCGGUAUGUGUACGUGUGUUGAAAAAACCAACAAAACAAGGCCCGCCCGUGUACGUGUGUGUGUGUAUGUGUGCGGAAGCGCUUGCAAACCUGUAUGGCCAUCCUCGACCGUAACUUACCUACCAUAACCAACAGGUGCAAGAAGCGGAGCCCUCGCAACGCGCCCUAUCGGCUCGUGUACCGCAACACUACACAGCUCGCGACGCUCUCUGACGGUUUGGCUCGGAAGCGACACUGCUUCUCAGUCGAGGUGACGCCUUGUGACGAGACAACCUCCUGCUGCGGCAUGGGCAUAAAAAAGAUCGGUAAGCUCCCCGUCGUCAUUGCAUGACUCAAAGGAAAGGAAGGGAAGGGCUUCACGGAAGGGCUUCGGGUUUCCGCCCAUCGACGGCUUCCUCCUCAAUCAAGUCCUCAUGAUGCAGACACUUCCAUGUGCCCUCCACUGAGUCAUGCCGCCCAACCUUAUGUGCUGGUGUGCAGAAUUGUUUGCCAGGAAUGAGUGCCGCAAGUCGGUUCGUCUGGUGCUGGUUGACGGGAUGAGCGUCAGCUGGUCGUUUACCCAGGUACUUAUAUACUCUUGACCCGACACUGCUUGUACUUGACCUGACACAACUUCAGCACCAGUGCGUGUGUUACAACACAUUGCAAACGAGGACUUGCAGCAUUCGCUGCGUGCAGCAGCUUACACAAACGAACGCGGCUUCUACCAAAAAUCCACUCGCCCCAACCACCCACCUCCACGGCGGUGGUACGGCCUACUUUACACCACCCGUAACCCCCUUGCUCACCGCCGCCUCAUCCUUUCAACGCGACAACAAACCCAUCUUCAGGACGUGUUCCAAUCUGCCACCUACACCACCUUCAAGCUGCCCACACUGACCAUGAGCCGCGUGGACGUGGGCAGUGGCUUCGACGUGUGCAUGCAGGUCAUAGAGCCCUGCGCCAGCCUGGAGGUGCGUGCAUGGGUGGGUGGGCGGGCGGGCGGGGAGGAUAGGGCCGCCGUGCGUGUUUGCUUGUAUGUUGUUCGCCUACUGACCCCUCAUCUGUCACCCGCAGGACUUCUGCUGGGGCGACUCCGGCAGCUGCAGAUCAACAUUUUUCUCGCUGGAUGAGCAAUGCUGGUAGGUGGAGGACGGAUGUGGGCAGCAGCAAGCAGGCAGGGGGAAAGGGCGGGGCGGCUACACUCUGGGAAAAGGGGGGUCACAAUUACCGGAAAAACGGGGGGUAAUUUACCGGAGAAAGGUGCCCGGUUGCCAAACCCGGAUUUCCUGAAACGUCCAGUACAUUUUUGCGGGGUAGUUGGUUCCGGUAAAGUUGUAAAGCUUUCCGGUAAACGGGUAAAGUUUUGCCCUUGUCCGGUAACAUAUGUUUUUCCGGGGAAGAUCCUUUCCCAGAGUAGUGGUACGUGCACGUACGUUCCCAAAUGUACGUGGGGCAUACUGCAUGCAGAAGUUGGUCCGUACUACUGUGAGUGCUGCUGCCGGCCCGGCCUGUUGCUCAAUGAAAUGCUUGACACCAACCGCUUUGCUGCUGCAUGCCCAUGCUUUAUUUCCACACGCAGUCCCACGGGUGAUACCGUGUUUGGCGCCGCGCCAUCCAGGAGCCCAGAUCCCGAGGGCGCGCCUCCCCCCGUCAUGGAGGUAGGUGUGUGGUCUUGCUUGGUGUGUGGGGUGCGUGCGCAGGUUUUCAUUGGGUGAAUGUAAUUGUUGGGUGCAUGCGUGCUCACCAUGAUGGCUGUUAGACCUUUGUUUGAGGUUCCCACCCAUGCGGCCAUACACCCGCUCAUCCUGCAGGUGGAGGUCGGUCGCAGACUUCGCAGGGCCACCUAGCAAUGUUACAUUGCCUUGAGUAGUUUAUCCUAGAGAACUGGCAGGAGGGGAUGAUCUAAGCGCCCGAAUGUACGAUGGCUUGGAAGUGAGCUUCUUAUUUUGGGUGCACUUAUGUGUGUCAUCGAUGUUAGUGAUUACCUCUGGACUGCAGUGUUGAUGUCGGGGUGGAUCCAUGGACGGAUGUACAUUGGCAGCAAGAAUGUUGAUUGCCCCCUUACUUACUUUCCUUUAUUCCAGUGUAGCGGUUAGCACAGUUUAUUCAGGGCGGGUGGGCCUUACCAACACAGCAGUCCGCCAUCCAUCAUGCAAUGGGCCAAGGGGUUUGUUUGUGUUACUACGUACGUACGCACUACAGCAUAUUAUCAGCGCCACAAAACGCACCUCUUCCAAUUGUGUGUGUGUGUGUGUGUGUGUGUGUGUGUGUGUGUGUGUGUGUGUGUGUGUGUGUAUGUGUGUAUGUGUGUGUGUAUGUGUGUGCGUGUGUGUGUGUGUGUGUGUGUGGAUGUGUGUGUGUGUGGAUGUGUGUGUGUGUGGCGCCCGUUUGUGGUGAUUAUUAAACUCUUCUGAACAUCGAUAGUAACGCAGACUGUAAGAUGUGUUACUCUAGAAUGACUUGUUGUGUGUGGUUACAAGGUGGUGAGCACGACGUGCAUUCCUGUCCUUGUAGAAACCGAGGCCCGGGCCGGGGGGCCCUUAUAACGCCUGACUUAUGUGAACGUGCGUGUGUUUCGAGCUCAUCUACAUACCCGCAUUGCUUGCCCGCAUUGUCCUGGCCUGCUGCGGCAGCAUAUCCUUAAUUGCCUUUUUAUGAAGGCGGCCAUCGUGUUACAUAUUAUAAACUUAUAAUACCGCCCAAAAAUUAUGAAGGGUUCUGUGUAAGCUAUCAUAGCUGGCAGGUAGGCAACAGGCACAAGUAUGGUGAAGCUGAUGUGGUUUCCAACCGUCCUCGCUCUGCAUCCGCCGGCCGUGCGGAGUUGGGACCGGCGGCGCCUGUCAACCCAGGGCCGGCCCCCGGCUCUCCUUGUGUAAUUGUAUCGGUCCAACAUGCAUCAGUCCAAACGCACCGGGAUAGGUGGAACCAUACCUUUGCUUGGUCGGACUGUCCGUCUGUCCCUUCUUAUAUUGUCGCAUUCAUACCAGGGGGUAAGCGGGGGAAUACAUACGUAGGAACAUACUUUUCCGACUCCCCAACCGAACCCCCCUUCCUAGUGGUCUUCUGACAUCGGUGCGGCUGCCGGGGCGGGGGUGAGCGCUUGGGUUGUGCCUUCUGUCCCCAACCUGCCCCAACAAAACUUUCUGCCGCCCGCGGGGUGGGGGGCGGGGGCUGACGGGCGGGUGGGGAAGACACAUAGUUUAGACCCAUAGUUUAGACGCCAAACACAUAGUUCAGACACAAAUGAUAGAAGCCAUUCCCGUUGCUGGUGGUGUGGUGUAUCGCGGCGGCAACGGUCCGCGCGGCGGCCACUGGGACCGUGCGACAAACCGCCUGCUGAACUGCCUCGUCCGUGGCGGUGCCUCGCAGUAUGCCUGGGAGGCCAGGGCCCGUAGGACUGCACUACUAAGGCUGGUCAUCAUCACUGCCACGUUUUGUGCUGAACCGCACCGAAACUUCUGUUGUGCCUGCCGCCCACGAAAGCCCUGCUACUUAAAGGAGUGGCGCCGCAAGCGAUGAAGGAGUCAAUCAGCUUGGCAGGGGCAGGAGGCCAUGCGAGCUACGGUAGUACAAUCACGCUGUAGCAAUGCAGGGGGGGGAUAAACUUGCAAGCAAGGGUUUGACCGAUGCCUGAAAUCGAUAGAGCUCAAGCGUGGGUGGUGCAGGCAGGCGCGUACAAAGUUUCGUGGGUGGUGCAGGCAGGCGCGCAUAAAGUUUCGUGGGGUGGUGCAAGCACACAGACGUAGGCAGACGUUAAGUCGUGGGUCCAGGGAUGGGGGAACCGUACGUAUGGCCCAUGCAGGUAGGGGCAUGCGCGUGCAGCCACAAUUGCCCAAAUUGCCGAGCUUCACAGCUCACACGCAUACACGCAAUAAAUGGCGAAACAUUAAGCACAUCUGUUUCAAUGACUCCAGCACCUCAGCUGCUCCAAAGGCAGCAAGCCUCACACGGCCGCUCUCGCUUUGCCACUCCUGUUCGCCGGCUUAGGUUUGUUUCGAAUACGCAUGCGCUGCAUGCGUCUGACGGGCCUAGCCCCAGUGGCCGGCACUGUUCCGGUGACUCGCCAGCUCUGCAAGCGGACUUGCUCGAUGUAGGCGGAGCUGCAAAGCUCAUUACGGCAGCCGCUAUAGUAUGCCAUUUCGCAGUCAACACUAGUGCAGCUCGCGCUGAGGACCGGCCAUGGAAGCCUCGCCGGCACCAUCGGCGCUUGGGCGAGCGCUACACGGACGCGUGGGCCGAAGAGCUUGUCGAGGUGUGGAACUUUGCGUGGCAGUGGUAGAAGUGAUGAACGCAACCGAGCAGUGCAGGCGAUCAAAAUUGUGCUGGGAAGGCUUUGCCCUGGCGGGUAUUAACGGGUACUUGAACUGGUAGAUGUGGACCUUAAUACGUAGACGCCGUAACGAGGUGCUGCGGGGACACAAUCGGCGGGGGCCAGGGCACACUCACCGCAGACACUGCGUCUGGCACCUUGUGUUCACGGCUUCCCACCAACGAACCCACGUGCGCAGGAGCAAGAGACAGCCCGUGAGAAGCGGCAAGAGGAGGCGAGGCUGGCUCGGCUACAAAUGACGCAGCAAAAAGAGGUACGCUCUGCCAGCGUGCGUAAGGGUGCUGCAGGCCCGUGGCAUCCUCGCGCUGCCGCAUACCUUGUGAAGCAUCGCACAUUCAUUGCGCAGGCGGACCUGAAGCGAAUCAGGGCGGAGGAGGAGGCCAUGAAGCGCAAGGCACAGGAGGUACGUGUUGGGCACACGCACAUUUCGCUUGUGCCCUGCACUGGGGAACGGGGGAGUGCCCAAGGGAGAGCGAGAGAUGCUCGGGCGAUAAGACCGGCGCCGUCCUCACAGCUGAACGUAUGUAUUCGCAGAUCAUUGUGAAGCAGCAGGAGGCGGCACGUGCCAACGGCCUGCCCUUCAAGCUGGUCAUCCGGGGUACCGACUUUGCGCCCGUGGUGGUGAGUGGAAGGCGGCCUGUGGGCGGCUGGAUGGCGUGGAAAACGGCAGCGGCCAGAUAUAAGCGCUUGGCAGCUUGGACUGCAGGAUUGCUCAAGCCCCGCCUUAGCAGGAUACUGCAGGCCUGGCGGUCAUGCACCUCCCCUCGCUGCAUUGACCUCGCUGCAGGUGUGGUCCGUCAUCCUGGCGGCGCUAGCUGCAGCCUACCGCAGCCGCUUCGUGCAGUGGCUGCUGUCCGGCGGCAGCAAGCAGCCCACCGGCGGCAAGUGGGUGUACGACCGGUCCCUGGGAGGCCGCAAGGUAGGGCGCCCGGCGGCGCUGAAAGGCUUAUUCCCACCAUUCCCAGUCAGGAACUAGAGACCGGAGGAUGCAGGGCAAGGAGUGGGGGUUUCUGGACCAAGUGUCACGCGAAACGCUCUGCCUGGUGCCACCUGCAGGUUUGGGUGCCGGACAGCAACUCGUUCGACGGACCCACCACCGCCACUAGCAUGUCAGAGAAGGCCGGCCGCUCGCGCAUGGUGAGCGUGUAUGGGCGUGGGUGUGCCCUGACCGCGGCUGUUCAAACCUGCUACAUGCGACGAGAUGGCACCCCGUGGUAUGGGAAAGCACUAAAGCAGGCGCGUUGAUGAGAUGUAAUCACGCAGCGCUCGUCUCAGCUGACAUCCCGCCUUCGGACCCACCUGGUUGGCACGCUCCUUGUAACCUCAGGAUGAGGAUUUCGAGCGGCUGUCUUCGUUCGCGGCCGCGGCGCGCACCGGCGGGGACGCCUCCACCUCGGGCUCGGGGGUGGCGACAGGCACGCUGCCGACCUGGUGGGACGCGCCGCCGGUGCUGUACGCCUCAGCCUCGCGCAAGGUGCGAGGAGUGGCAGCGUCCCCGCGCGUGUGCUAGUGUACUAGGGAAGGGCAGUAGCAGCGUUGACGGGGUUGCACAAAUCCUUGGGCUUAUCGUUGCAGCCCCAGCAGCCGGCGCAUAUCCUCUCCAUCGCCUUGAGCUUGUCAUGCCUGGAACCUACCGUCCGUGUCGCCAGGCGGCCUGCGAGGCGGAGGCUGGCCGCAUUAUGUCGCGGCUGGAGAGCGCCAAGAACCGCGGCGAGGACUACUCGCUGGCAGAUAUACGCGCGCUGAGGAAGACGUGUCAGGUGGACCGGGUAUUGGUUGGGGGAGGGGCGGUGAAACGUAGUGUGUGAGGAGGAGCCAAGUUGCGGCGGCGGCUGGCAGGGCGGCUGGCAGGCGGCUGGCAGUCAGGAUUGGAGACUCCUGGCGGAGUGCUCAUAGCACUGUACACGCUGUAAAUGUCAGCCAACCCAACGUCAAUCACAACAUGCACAGGAGGGCCACGUAAGCGUGAAGCCCAAGACGGUGGGCGGCCGCGACGCCAUCUUCCGGGCCGCUGUGGAGGCGGCGGUGGCGGCGGCGCAGGCUCGCAACUUCGAGUCGCUGGAUGAGGCUUCGCCGCCGCGCUUCGUCGCGGGCGUGGCGGCGGACCUGGGCAUGGAGGACGGCCGGGCGGUGGGCAUAGCGGUGGCGGUGGUGGCCAGUGCGGUGCGGGCGCGGCUGCUGGACGUGAGUGCGGCAGGGCCGGGGCGCGGAGGCGGGAAAAGGCUUAGUGGCUUAGUGGAGGGACGCGGGCGGGUAUUUGCGGGCUUGGAAUGACAGUGCGUACCUCCAAAGGACUGACUAAAAGGGACGGGUUUGUAGCCCGGCGUCCUUGGCACGUGGAAACUAGAACAGCCCAAGCCCGGCCAAACCGCCAUGCCGAGCUGCGUCCAACCGAAUACUGAUCCCCCUUCCAAGCCCUGCUGUGUCUAAACCCCAGUUGCCUGUCGUUUGCGAUUGCGCAGGCCGUGACCAACAUGAAGCUCAGCCGCACUGACCCGGAGGCCAUGACGGAAGCGGUGUACGCCCUGGCGCGCAUCGCCAGCCUACUGGAGUACCUGCCCGCGCUGGACACGGAAACGCCGCAGGUGGGGGCAGCGGCUGUCGGGGUAGAGGCAGUCGGGGCAAGGCAGGUUGAGGCGGAAGCCAUGGCGGUAAAUGGGUUUGGACAGGAUAUACACGCCGGUGCGGAAGUCAAACCAAUCGUGCUGUUAUUAUGGAAAGCGAAACCUCCCUGCCCAAUUCUAGCGGUGCCUCCUUAACAUCAUCCGCGCCCUCAUGGGGCCCACUCCGCCUCCCGCUCUGGUCUACGUACGCAUUAGUUCCGCAACACUACUCAAUAAUGGGGCCUCUUCGUCUUUGCACGUGCACCCCUCCAGGUGGACAUGGUAGCGUCCUCCCUGCGCGCCGCCAGCAGCCUGGAGGAGCGCCGCUACCUGUUCCACCUGCUGGCGCAGCUCACCGAGGACAAGGCGGCGCUGGCGGCGCGGCUGCUGGACUUUGAUCCCAAGCUGGUCAUCCCUGAGCAGCAGGCCGCGCUGCAGGCCGCGCGAGUCGAGCAGGCGGAGUUUGAGCGGCUGGAGGCGGCGGCGCAGGGCAAGGAGGGGCAGGCCAAGAACGGGGCGGCGCAGGGGCAGCAGAAGCCGGGAGCAGCGGCGGAGCCGGCGAAGGACGGGCAGGCCGGGACAAGCAGCGGCGAAGCCGGGAAGGACGCGGGCGCGGCGUAAGCUAGGAGCAGUCGGAGAAGCGGCUGACGCAUGGUUCGUGAGGACGGACGAGCCAAGUUAGCGCAGACAGGGCCAGUCCCGGGACGUGAACGAAGGUACCAUAUACAACUAACAACUAUCUCGGAUUACAGACAAUGAGUUUCAGGCAGACGUGGACCAAAGUGACUCGCAAGUGGGACAGUUGGGCGAUGUCGGCCCUGUUCUGUUUUGGCCAGUGCUAGCGACUUGUAACCCCUGCAGUCGCGAGCUGACCCCCGUCGACUUUCAAUAUGCUGGAGACUAUUAUGCGGACCGAGCCCGACCGAUGAAGCGACCUUGCAUCUCGGGCGGACGUCGGUCUGUCGGCGGGGCGCGGGGCUGACGCUGCUACCAGCCCCUUCUCUCACAAAUACAGUACUUAUACCCAAUUCGCGCAGCACACACUACUAAUACUUGACCUGACACAACUUAAACACCAGUGCGCGACUGUCAAAAACACAAACGAGACCCUUGCAACAUUCGCUGCAGCUUACACAUACGAACGCCGCCUCUACCUAUUAAGUCCACUGCUGUAUUGCUAUCCUAAAGAUACAUCGCCGUCACUGAUUUUGGAGUGAUGGGGCCCUGGAAAGGAGCGACGCAGGUUGCUCCGGGCGGUGGCGACGAUGUCGAGUCCUUCGGCGACGACAAGCGAGGCUGCUCCGGCUGGGUAGGCUUGCUAUCGAUUCGCAUCGUAUGCAGCGUUGUUUGACGCGUCCCCGCGAUUACUCGUCUUGGCUCACGUCGUUGACGCGCACCAAGUCAUGCGCUUGCUCAAGUCAACGCUGUGACCCAUCGGAUUUCUCACAGGUCAAGCGCAACCCAGUGGUGGCAGCCGUAUUGAUUACGCUCACAAUACUUGGCGUGAUAGCAGCUAUCGUGGUGCCGGUGACCUGCUCGGUCCACGGCUGUCCUCCAAAACAAGCAGAGGUGCGACGCGCGGAAUCUGGUACUCCUUAGCUUUAUUGAGUAUAGGUUUUAAAAUAAUGUAGGCUAGGGCCCGCGGCCCAGCUCCAAGCCCUCUGCGUGCGCCACUUGUCGAGUUUUGGUCGCAGGUAUUGAGUAAGCACCCCGCCGCCCCAUUGCUGCCCCUGCCUGCACACACCAACAGGAUCCUACUCUGUCUUUGUACAAGAAUGCACCGGUUCGCCUGGUGGCGGCGUUCCUCUCUGACGUCGACGUCGCGGACCUGGUUCCGCCCAUCCUCAAACAAUACACAUCACGGGUGCAGAUGGCGCUUUCAAAUUUACAAAUUCUUGAGGCCGUAGACGAGUCCGUGCUUCAAAUCGUGCUCGACGAGGUUCGGAAGCGGACAGGUGCGGGAAACGCCGGGACUGUGUGAUUCUUUGCUAGUAUUUGUUUUCCUUCAACGAAACUUAGCAGUGGUCGUGCGGGGGGCGGGCGGCGAGAUAUAGCGUUCGCGUGCCGUGCAUGGUGUGGGCCGCUUUCCUUCCCCGUCACGACAUCGUAAAGCGGCCGUGCCCUGUUGUCGCUGCCCCAUAUUCAGAUGUGGAGUUCGUGGUGCGCGACUUCGUGCUGAAGGCGCCCACAGACAUUACUGACCCCACAGCCGCGUCCUCCAGCAGCGGCCGCCGGUAAGUUUGGCAGUUGGCACUCGGUGUUCAACUCACGGCUGUCAAUUUUCGCCGUGAGCCUCCAUGAACCGACUGCCCCGAACCCUUGGCGUAUUCCCGCUGCAGGUUGCAACAGGCAUACACUCUGAAUGACCCGCAACUGAGCACCACUUGGUGGUUUGACCGGAUCAACGUGACCGGCGCCUGGAGGCUGCUGAACGUCAAUGCCACGGACCCGCAACAGAGAAGUGAGCAGCACUGGGGACGUGCUGGUGGGGAGGGGGAGGGGGAAUGCUGGGCGCCCGUGUCUUGGGAAGGGCCGGCAUAUGCAGUGCUGAAGGGAGCCAUUGAACACGCCAAGUGGAAGCAACAUGCACGUCAAUAACACGAUGUAUGUCCUCUGUGCCUUAUGCAGCAAGCGACGUGGUAAUUGGCGUCACGGACAGUGGUGCCUUCGUGAAUCACCCUGACCUCAUUGGGUCGUUCUGGGAGAACCCGGCUGAAAUUGACAAUGAUCUGCGGGACAACGACAACAACAGUGAGUGGCUGCGCGGCUAGUGGCUAGGUCAACACGAGCACGCCUGCAGCGCUUCAUGGCUGUGCCCGCACAACACCAAUAACAUGUGCCCGUCUGCUGCAGCCUACAUUGAUGACGUCUAUGGCGCCUGCUUCGCCAACUCGGUGUGCUCGCCCACUUCGCUUAACUCUAACCUGUCGCGGUGCGGCAUCGGCAAAAACACAUUCGCUUGGAACAACGUCAACGACAUGUAAGUCCUGGGGACGUUGGGGCAAAGAAUGGACCAGCGACCGGCAACAUAUGGUUGGCGUGCGCGCCAUGUACGUGCCAUGUGCCAUCGCCAACAGGGCUGACGCUGUGUGCCCUGUGUUCACUCACACCCACAGCAACAGCCACGGCACGAAAAUCGCUGGUGUCAUCGGUGCGCGGCCCAACAAUGGCAUCGGCCUGGCGGGUGUGGCGCCCAACUUGCGCCAGAUGGUUCUCAAGGUGCGGUGCGCGUGGAUGCAUGGAUGGGGCCUGUUGACGCCUGAUAGCGUGGCCAGGGAUGAGCAGGCUGAUUGGCCGCUCAAAGUUUGCCGGGGGUCAGCCAGCAAGAUUCACUGACACACCACACACUCCCGUGCUUUUGUCAUCAUACCGUGCCUGCCCUUAAUCCGACGCCUCGCUUCCGCCCCCGCGCACGAACCCUAGGUGGUGGAUGACACCUACUUUCAGUACGCAUAUAGCGACGUGGUGAGGGCCAUCGACUACGGGUACGCCAAGGGUGCGCGCAUCUUCUCCAUGUCGUUUGGCCAGGACGCCCGCACCAGUGCCACGGUAAGCCGGCACGGGUUUGAAGACAUGGGUGUGCUGUUACUCAAGACGCUGGGAAAGGUCGGGCCAUAAUGGCCUAGAAUGCGGCCACCGUGUCCUCAACAACGCUCAUCAACCAACCGUUUGCCGCCUUGCAGCCCACCAACAAGCCUAGUCUGGACGCGGCUGCCACUGCCUACCGCAACCUGUUUAACAAGUACUCCAACGCCCUGUUCGUGGCAGCAGCAGGUGGGUGGGCUGGCGGCUGGCUAGAUGGGUGCUGCGCGCGGAGGCUGAAAUGGUCUUGACCACAGUAUCUACCUGUGGCACGCUGUGUACUCAGCGCAGAUCAAUAACCGUGUCCGCUGUGGAUGCCUUGCAGGCAACGAGUGGACGAGCCUGGAGGGCUGGCGCUCAGGCAACUACACCUACUCGCCCUGCAUGAUCGCCACCGACAACACGCUCUGCGUGGGCGGCACCAACGUGAACGACACAAUCUUUUACGUCUUUGCCUUCAACCAGCAGGCCGGCACGAACUUCGGCCCCACCACAGUGGACAUGGGCGCGCCCGCACACAGCAUUUACACAACCGACAUUGCCGUCAGUGAGUGGAGUGUGCACAGGGCAUCCUGCAGGCGGGGCUAAAAAAUGAAACGGGCGGAUGGGCGGCACGUGGUGGAAAUGGAUUGAGCGUGUACUGGUUGGGAGCGUGUACUUGGCCCUCAAUACAAUGACGGUAGCCGACCUGACCGAUGCCAUGGCUGCAAUUUAUCACCCACAGAUAGAAACUACAGCGCCCCUUCGGGUACCUCUUUCGCUACCCCCAUGGUGGCGGCAGUGGCGGGUCUGGUGCUGUCGGCGCUGGGCGGCACCGGGUGAGACUUUGCAGCGUGCGGCGCAGGCCACAUGGUCACAGGUGGCUGACAAGUACAUUAUUGUCUUGCGACUGUGCGGCCUAACGCAAGUGACAGUCUUGGGGCAAGGAUCAUUGGCGGUCUGCGGCUACUUGGUCGCCUUCUGCUUUCGUGCCAUGGAUGGUAACGCAAGCCUUCCUGCUUGCGCUGCCGUUGUUCGCAGGCGGGCCACUCCGCAGACACCCCUGCAGAUUAAGAACAUCCUAAUGAGCUCUGGCGAUCUGCUGCCCAGUCUGAACGUGAGUUUCGUGUGGCGCCAUAAAGUGGUUCUUAAGCUGCUUUCAUACCUCACUGUGGUGCAUGUGCGGUGCUGACUUUAUGUGUGCUCAUGCCUUUGUUGCAAUACAGAACCAGUUCAAGAGUGCGCGCCGCCUGAACGCCGCCAACGCUGUGGCGGCCGCCCUGACCCUGGCCCGGACCAACCGCACUAGUAAGUGACUACGGGAGAGAAACACGGCACGCAUGAGUUGGUUGCACAGCCACAAGGCACGCUAUGGUAAACUGGUCGUGCAAAUCUAUGGCUAUGGAAUGGGCGUGGGCUGAAGCCUGACAAGCCCAUUUCAGGGCGUCUGGCAUACGCUUUCCAAGUGCACUCCUCGACAACUGGCAUUUCCUAUUGUGAUUCACUUGCAGCCGUUGUCCGGGAGCUGGAUGGCAGCACGGCCGCCGCCGUCGGUGCUGUCACCGCCAUGCAGGCGUGGGAGUACAUAUGGUGCGUCACACGGCUGGGCUGGGGGAAGGAUGGCUAGUCCAGGGCGGGCCGAAAUGGGGCCUACCCUUCACGUGUCGCGCCAUGCAAGCACCUGGGCUCAGAACCUUAGGGCACCGCUGUCCUAUUCCGUCUGCUGUAAUCCCCCAUCUGAUGGCAUUGGUCUUAUGCAAUGGUCCGUGCACAGGUACACGGGUGUUUACACGGAUGGUGCCUUCGACAACUUUGAUCCCAGCUUCCGCUUCCUGGACUACUAUGUGCGGGUGAGGAAGUUUCCUCGUGUUCGCGUGCAAAUUAAAGUCAGAGCUUCAAGCUGUGGUGUGGCAACUCUUUAAUGUACCAGAGGCUCGGGCGCCUGUACUGAUUGUCGGCUACACCAUGUCCCAACCGUUGGGCUGUCCUUCUGCCCGCCCGCCUUUCCCUACAGCUGUCCUCCAACAUGCAAAUCGGCGGCAUGCGCUACGGCGGCAACACCAAGCUGCUGGUCACGUCGCACAUGCGUGUGGAGACCACCGGCAUGUACGGGCUGCAGGUGAUCCAGAGUGGCAUCACUCGCGAUAAGUGGCAGAUGAGCAUCGGCGAGAACAUCAUGUACUUCCGCUGGGUCAACAGCACCACCGGUUACAUCGACCUCUUUUUCCCCGACCCCGGUAAGGAGCAGGGCGCCUCAGGCCGUGGUGGGGUGUCCCCGCUGCCGGCGCACAAAAAUACAACAUUUGCGUCGCAUCGCCGUACCUCCUUUGAUUGUGGCAUUCACUUAUCUGCAACAGGCUUCUACAACAUCACCAUCUGGAUGUAUCCCGACUACGCAACUAACCUGGACUUCAAGUGGCAGUCGCCCACGGAUCCCAGCUACCUCAACCGCAACUGGUUCUGGAUCCUCAACUUUGACAGCCCCCCCGCGCCAGUCAAUGACCCUAAUGUCGCCGACAAGUGAGUACCGUAAGGGCGGGAGCGCUGCGUGUAGCGGCCACCGCCGUAGGUAGUGUUUUGCACAUGGAAGGUGACCAACGACCAAGCGCCUUGUUGUCUAGUCACAAACACAAGCACCGUCUGAUCUCGCGCCUGCUCUCAUCUUCCAACACGAACACAGGCCGGCUCUGUGGCACGUGGCCUGGAAUGAGGACCGGCAGUUCGACACGUGGAUAUACCAGUACGGCUAUUUCCAGGCCAACAAGGACAUACGGCGCUAUCGUGACUGGCAGACCACUGUGCCUGACUUCAACUUCGCCACCGGUGCCGAUGUGAGUGGCAGACAAGUUGAGGCGCAGAGGCCGGGAGCGAAAGCGGCCUGGCGCGCGGGGGCGGGCUGGACGCGGCCACAAGCUGCAGCUCAAGGGUGUGUUACCGUAGUCCCGUGCAUUAAGGCCAUGCUCCAUUCGCUUUUUGCUUUUCCCACCUUGCAGCUUCGAAGCGGUCUCUAUGGCACCGGCACCGCCAUGCUCAACCCCGCCAACUAUGUGGUGUAUGGCUAUGCCCGCACCAACCUUGCGCCGAGGGCCUUCAGCCAGGGCGUGGCCUUCCGCCUGCGCGUGAGUGCAAAAUGUCCGCGCCGCACACAUCUUGGCCUUUUUAAAAGAGAAACCGAUGUAAAGGCGCUUGCUUGUGGCCACUGUUAUGCAAAGCCUCUUUCUGAAUACCUGUCAAUAUGUCCCACUUGUAGCUGCGCUUAGCGUUCCUCGUGCGCGUGUGCUGCUUCUCAACCGACCACAGGGCCCGCACACGCGCCUGUUCAUCAACGGGCAGUUGGUCUAUGACUUCCAGUCCACGUCCGUGUUCCAGACCGUCACGCCCUGUGUCACGCUGGCAAGCAACCAGUCGCACGAGAUCUACCUCUACUUCGCUGCAAUGGUGCGUGAUGCGACGCAACGCAGCAAGGCAGACUGCCACGGCCGUGGGCUUCUUGGGGUCGUGCAGGGCAUUGUUGCUACGUGCUCAGUGGGCCUCAUCAUGCUGCCAGGUCGUAGCCCAUGCGCAUGUAACCCUGCGUUUGAGCCCGGUUGCCCUGUCCCCGCGCCCUUCCUGCAGCUCAACAACACCGCGCCUGUGGGCAUUCAGUGGGCCAACUGCAGCUCGCCCAACCAGCCCGCGGUGCUGUCCACCAACUACGUGUCCUUCUCUUCCGCGUGAGUACCCGCAAGUUCUGGUGACUCAUCUAAGCGAGUGCAGGCACACAGCCACCGCAUCUUCUGUGUAACGCCGUAUUCAAUGCGUCGCCAACACGCACGUUCCUCACUUUCCCUUGCGCCCAAUGGCCUACCAUCGCUGACCCCAUCCCCACCCAAUCCCGCCGCACCCCUUCCGGCUCGCAGUCUGGCCACCAAGUUCUUCUACAGCCCCAACCCUAACACCGUGGCCUCCCUGCCUCGCGGCUUCCGCUGCGACGCCUGGGCCGCCAACGGCUCCAUCACCCGGCCGGCGCCCAACAACCCGCCCUUCGGCACGCCGCCCAACCUCACCUGGAUGUACCCGCGCGACUGCCCCGCCGGACUCAAAGUCGGCAGCGAGUGCCGCAUGGGCACGAUCAUGCGGGUGCGUCAUUUGUGGACUUUGGGGGCUCGUUCUAGUAGAAGCACCUGCAUCCCUUGGCCGUUGUUGCUGGUCCCCAUCUUCCAUCCCAACCUAACGUCUACCCUUGUAACCCAUAUCCCCCACUUCCGUCGCCCUUGCUCUCACGCGCACAGGAUUUGUUCCCUAGCAUUACCUGGAACUUCUGGAAUGUCCGCUGCUGGACCUACUGGUCGGGCAGCAUUAAGAACGGCGUGUCGCGCGCCUUCAACCUGCCCGGCGUGCACUACCAGACCCUGGCGGGCGCGCGCACCUACGAGAUGUUCGGUGACGGCCUCAACUUCUACAACUACGCACCCAUCCGCACCCGCUUCGCGUCCAACGUCUAUCAGCUCUUUGUGCUGGACUGGGUGGCGCUUGGGCCGCUGUGGAACCGCGUUGCGGCGCAGAUUGUGUGGGACGGUACCGAUAACGGAAAUUCUACAGACGUUGAUAAUUUCCUCAAGACCGACAGCAGCCGCAUGAUCCUGCCGGCGAAUGCUGCAGCACCAUACAUGUGGCAGAAUGUAACGUUCGUGCCGUGAUGAGUGAAGGAAGGCAGGGCAGGAAGAGGUUCGAGAGGGCCCAGUGGAAGAAACGAGAUGGGCGGGUGGGGGGCUAGUGUCGCGAGGUCAGGGUUCGUGUAGUUUGGGACAGCAUGCUUGGCCUUGUGUGCAUGUGUUUGCAUGAUUUAUGCUCAAAAUGCAUACCCGACUGACUCGCUCUUUCAUAACCUUGCCGCACGGCAUCGUGCGCCAUCCUCUUCCCGUCGUGCUGUGCGAACAGCACCUUUUUUGCAAUGGGGGAGUCCUGAGGUUGGUGGAGUAGCACUGGCGAAGGCGUACAUAAAUGUAUAGUGGGCCGCUGUGGCUUGCAAGUGACCUCGGCUCGCUUCAACCACAGCGUGAACUAGCGUUGCUCUUAACGAUUAUGAUGGCCGGUUGGGGUCUAUGCGCAUAUUGUCCUAUUGAUGGGUUUGCGGGGAUGCUGCAGUGGAUGCAUCCCAGCCCCGUGUUUCGCGUGGCAAACUCGCGAACGCGUGCGGCCUACCUUCGCAUUACCGGGCUGCCAUAAUUGACAUUGUUGAAUACAGUUCAUUAGCUCUUGUUGCGCCUGCGAUGUCAUGCACGUUAGGUGCUUGGGGCAGGGAGGAGAGGGGAGACUGUGUGUGUGUGGGCUGUGUGUGUGUGUGUGUGUGUGUGUGUGUGCCGCUACGGGUUGGACGGCGCGUAGCUUCACGUAGACUUCACUUGCAGAUCGAUAGGUAGAUUCCUAAAGCUGGCCUUUUGCCGCCGUGGUGCAUUGUAGCUGGCGCGUGAAAAGGACUGAGUUGGUUUCCCACGGGCCACGGCAUGCGUGAGGAUACCGUAUAUGUGGCUCUGUACGACAUCUCGCCCAUAAACAUGUCACCGGGUCCCUGGACAAGCGUUGGCCUCACGCUCGUUCUCAAUCCGCUCCCGUCCACGUCUGCCCCUCGUUCGCGUACCGUGAUGUGUGUGUGUUAUAGGAUUGGAAGUGUGCAUUCCUAAUACCUGCAACGAGACUAACCGAGGAUUGUUAGUUGCGUCUUGCACACCGUGUGCACCGUCGUGGUGCUGCCUAAUCAAAAGACAGCGCUUAGACCAAAUAUCACGUACGCAGCAAGCCAACUUAAAUUGGUCAGCACCUUGCAUAACCUGCUUCAUUGAAUCAGAACUGAUACCGUACGUUGAUCUGACACACGUGUACGCUUCACACUCAAGUAAAACAUGCCGUUCAUCCUCUACUCCUUUGUUGCAGAGGGGGCAAAGCCUGGCAUUUCUAGGUAAAUGGUGGUCUCUAUAAGCUGCAAUCGGCCAACAGCAAAGCCGAAACCUCAUAAGGCAUCUGCAUUGAAUGGGUUUACACGGGGCGCGCCGCAUGACGCCGUCAAGCCGCGCACUGUAAUGUCGAUGCUGUGGCGCCGUAUGCAACGGUUGGCGCCAUUCUUGAUGCUGCAAGCAAAACCACGCAAGCGCAGAGCGUAAUAAUCGUUUCAUCAUACAUCAGGUGCGUGCAUGCAAGGCCCCGCACCCAUCCAUGCCCGCGCCCUACACGCACCUGGAUGCGAUUGUCUGUGGGGCCAUGUCGUCGCUGGACCAACGCGCCCAUUGGCAGUAGCGCGUGCCCUCCUCCCAGCCGGGCUUGAUGUUCCCGCCACGACCGGCUGCCCCGUCGCGCCGUCAAUCACGAGGGAGUUCUCAUCGCCGGCGCACACGUAGUCAACAGGAGUGAGCGCAUUCAGCGCGCAAGGCGAUCCCGGUCGAGGAAAGGUUAGGCAGAUUGCAGGGGGGGGGUAAGGAUGCCGCAGACAUACCCCACCCUUCAAAUCGAAAGAGCUUGACGAGAGCGUUCAGAAUCCGCUUUCAGAAUUUUGAUCAGGGUAGUAAUUGCGGAGGUAUGGGCCCCCAAAGUUCAGGGUCGGUCGUCGGUCCCCAGGGUCCCCAAGGUUUCGUCACGGUGUGCCGGAAACUUUCGUCUGGGCCUCAUAAGACAGCAGGGCAAGCCCAGACCGUUGCCCAAAGCAUGUAAUGGAUGCUUGAACAGCUGGGAAACAUCAGGAGCCUAUCAGAAGACGAAGGGCUACCGCCCGUCAACACAUGUCGGGUUGGGAUGUUGGGGUGCGACAUGUCUCGCCUGACCAGAACGUGCCACAAGUCGCGGACCGGUGCUUGCACGCCGGAGGAAAACGCAUGUAUAUGUCCCAUGCGUAGGUAAGUCUCGUGGGCGUGCUUUACACGGGUGCAACUGAACGGCCGCAAGAUGUUCUCAACAUGUUGACAACAUGGCUGUGGUCAAGACGCGCCCGACGAACUUUCCGUGUUUACAUGUUAAUAGAGCUCGCUGAAAGCAGUCGUUUGGCACCAUCCUGGAAGAAAACAGAGGGGAUUUAGGGGGUGUACGGCACGGUACGGCACGGUCGGUCGUCGGUCAGGGGGGGUCGGGAGGUUUUGCGGGGUGGGGUCUGGAACUAUUGUUCGUACCCCCCCCUGCAGAUUGGGCACAUUAAGUACUGCUGGGAAGCGAACGGAUCACCGCUCAGGGUUUGGUAUUUGCAGUCGGCGGCUCGGCGCUGUUGUAGUAGAUGUCCAGGCACGAACCCUGGGUGCCGCAUGCGAUUGCGUUGGAAAGGCCGCCCCCAUCGCUGGAAGGACCCUGAAGCACGCAGGGGUCGGGCGGCGCAGCAGGCGCCCGGACGUUUGGGCUGGCGCCGGGGCGCGGCGGUGGCCUGGGUGCGGGGGAGGGCAACUCGUACAGGAUGACACAGUCAACAUGGCUGUACAAGUGAAAUGGGCGGCAUUGCUGUGAAGCCUAGAAAUGAAGGAGCGGCUUCAAGUCCAAGCCCCACGUCCUUGCGUACUGAGUGAUCCACAUCAAUGUGUGAUUUCAUUGACCUGAUGGCGGUUCGCGUCGGACCUCCUACCGUAUACAGCCACCGUCUCCUGAACUCACUUCAAGCCUCAGAACCUGCCAUCCUAAAAGGCACUCAUGAGUCAUGACUGCCACCAUCUUAAAACGUCUGUAGUGUCUAGACUACUUGCCAGCCGGCCCAGCCCUCUGAAAACGUGCACACACCAGGCUCACAUGUGAAUCACGACAUACUAGCCGUCUACUGCACCGGUGCUAGCGGACUGUCACUAUCCAGCCGACUGGGGGCAUCCGAGGCGAGGGGCAUCCGAGGCUCUCUCGCACUCGCAGUGUUCCCACAUGAAGAAACUGUGUGUUUGGUCCACGCCUAGCGCUGAGACAAGUGUUCCCCGGUCACGGGAAAAGGGGCUGAGCCCCUCCACAGUCUGAGGCCGAACAACCUCAUCGCCCGGACAUAGCCGGGGUCGGUUUCCACAGGCACAUAGCCAAACCAGGUGCCUAUCUAGCAGUCGCGAUGCCACAGUGCUCAGCCCAAAAACCGCAGGUUUGACAGAUCCUCACAACAUGGACCUAGGCCGGACGGCAUGAUUGGGAGCCGCACCCUCUCCUCCUACACCAUCCGUCAGCUUAGCCCCCAUCAUCCAACACCGCCAUUUGCCGCGGAGGCCUAUGCAAUGUGGCUGGCCAUGGCGAGCCAUCCUCAAUGCAUGCUCCGAACCGCUUCUCCCAAGCUCACCCAGCCUCCCGUCUCUCUCCGUCGCUGGAGCGUUCACGCCGUCUUGGCUCCGCUCUUGGCACGCUUCUGACUGCGCUUGCUGCCGAAGGGCUGCGCGGACACGGCCAUGCGGAUCACCAGCGCCAGAGGCAGCGCCAGGUAGGGCGCGUAGAUCGCGGCCAGGGCGGGGCUGUGCGAGCCAGCCGCCGGGCUGAACAGAAUGUCAGUCAGGAUGGGCACCUGAGGAGGGCAGAGGUGAGGUGGAUGAGUUUGGAUGGGUUGGUGGAUGGAGCAGGUACAGGUGAUGGCAGAUGGCCGCCCUAAACGAAAUGUCCUUACUGGACGUCGGAGAGAAGGAGUCUGGUGGGCAAACAAACGGAUGGGUUUGCCCAGCACUAUCAAUCUAGCAGCAUCCUGGCUCCUGCGCUUGGCCCAUCCGCCCACUGGCUCGCCCACCCCUUACGCCAGUCGGGACGAACCAUGGUGGUGGCAACGUGCGCGCCGUAGAUUAUACAGGGCACACGGAUCCAGUUGGCCCGCUUGAUGAAGGCGUACGCGGCCACAAAGAAGAAGGGCAGCUGCAGCGCCGUCUCGCACCAAACCAGCGACACGAACCACAACGGGUUGGUGGACACCUGUCCAUGGGCGGGGGCAGGAGGGGUGGGUGGGUGGGUGGGUGGGUGAACUACGAGGAAGCCAGGGCACGUCCGGUCUCAGCCUCCUGCCCCCGCCCCCGCCCAUCGCGCACGGCGGUGGCCGCGGGCGUUGUCUACACCAUGCCGUGUUGUUUAGCGUGUAAGUCAGAUUCUAAGUCUAGCUCAUUACCGUUACAUAGACAAUGCCCGGCCAGAACGUCAGCUGGCUCUGGAACUGGAAGCUCGAGCGGUCCGAGCACCGCUCGACUGACAGCCUACCAGCGUCGCUCCGAUCUAACGUGUUCCUUACGACCACACCCAAUCCAUAUGCCAACCAUGCGCUGGCCUUGCUGGCGCCGCACCUGGGCAAGGGCAAGGACGGCCCCGCGCCCUGGAAGUGAGUGGCUGCAGCAGUCUGCCGCGACAGUCUGGCUGCUGUCCCAGGCCCUGUCCGUUGCCUUACACGCUCUUGUCGACACCUUUCAGGUACAGGUCGCUGGAGCAGGCGGACCUGGAGAAGCUGGAGAAUGCGGCGUCGGGGUUUGUGGCUUUUAACGACCUGCUGCUGGAGGCAGUGGAGGCUCCAGCGGUGGGCGGCCAGGUCCAGUAUCUCUUCUUCCUAGGCCGCCCUGACGGUGAGUUGCACCCUCUCCCCCCCUCUCCCCCCCUCUGUCCCCGCCCCCCCCUCCCAGCAGGGUUCUGUCAAGGACAGAGGCCGCUGCGGCGGUAUGUUAGCAGGGAGGUUAGUUAAGAAUGGGACCGUGCUGGGUUCUGCCACGUGCAGUAAGGCUGAGGCCUAGUGCAGUGACUUGCGGGCGGGGGGCGGGGGCGGGGGGCGGGGGCGGGGGUUUCGGCGCAUAUAAUGCGCAUGUGUAGUUAACAGCAACACGCUUGGUCGAGGGGCGGGUGGGUGGGUGGGUGGUAGUGGGUGGGUGGGUGGGUGGGUGGGUGGUAGUGGGUGGGUGGUAGUGGGUGGGUGGUUCGGCAAGCCUGAUUUACUAGCGGGUGCGUUACACACGGUGCAGCUACGCUGCCUGGCACCUUCGGUAGUCUGGCAGUGCUGCCCAAUAACCCAAAUAACCAACACUCCCCCUCGGACCGAACUGGGUCCAAUAGCAAACCGCCAACUGACAGCCAACUGACAGGGGAAACAAACAAGGCCAAUCACCGGCCAUAAAGGAGGAGAUAACUCCCCCUCAAUCUGAGCACCGGUGGAUAUAGGAUAGGGCGGUGUCCGACCCUGAGCGGUCAACAGGUGGGCGCGAUAGGUGGGGUUGGGGGCAGGAGGCUGAGACCGGACGUGCCCUGGCUUCCUUGUAGUUUCCUUGCCCUAUCCUGUUCCAUUUCCACGUGCACCGUUCCAACUUGCGCAUGCUGCCACUCCCCCACGUAUUCUCGCCUCUCGACGCCUCCCGCAAAACGAAAGGGGGGGAGGGGGGAGCAAGCGGCGCAGUCGCCCAGUCCAUACCGCGCUCCUCCGCCCAUACACACCAGGUGGUCACCGUUGGUCUUGAUGUGCCAUUGCAGAGCCUCCUUUGCCCAGGAAGGGAAGUACUCAGCCGGGAACACUGCGCGCAAGCGAUGGUCCCGACCUUUUGUUAGGACAACGCAGCUCCGCCUGAUUAGAUCUGAAUGUUUCGAUCAUUGCUCGCAUCUACGUAUGGGUAGAUGCGGGCCAGUUGGCGGGCCAGCGUUCAGUAGCUCAACACUUCACCCGCAGCAAGCCUGCCGCGCUGCUUACCACUCUGGCUGUCCACUAAGAGUGUUGUAGGGAUGUGAAUAAUAAAAUAAGCGAGGAAAAUAGCGUCCAGGACGCCAAGCGCACUCAUCUUCGCCUCCUUUGCAGGGCUGAACAAGGUAUAAUCACACGUGUUGUCCUAGUAUACAGGAUAGCGUGCCCUGAAGGCGGAAUUGCCGGCCCAGUGGCAGUCAACCGUCACAUGGCGGGACAAUUCCCAGUCCCAAUCGCCCCCUUGCCCAACUGUUCCCCACGGCCUGAGCUGCCUGGGACUUGGGACUUGACGCAGCACCGCACCGCACCUCUUCCUCCUGUUCAAGCAGGCCACACCCGCCGUCAUCGAGCGCACGCAUGCGUGGCCCCACAAGUGCCCUAAAACACCUCCAACACCUUGCACCUACAGCCCUUGCCAAGUUGCCAUGCGUUCGGUCACGCGUGUCAUGCUAUCAUUCUCAUUCCUCCUCGCCCUCGCCCUCGCCUUCCGCCACCGACUCCAGCUGCGCCUCGUGCCGAACCUCCGGCAGGAAGUAGGUUUCAAAGGUCCAGUAUUUGUUGCGCACGCCCUGCCACACCUCGUCUCCCAGCUCGCCAACCGCCAGCGGCGUGUAUUCGGUAUGCAGGCCCUUGGACGCCAGCUCCAGCGAGAUGAGCCUGUGUCGCGGGGCCGUAUCCGCGUGUUGGAAAAGCGCAAGAAAGGAAACACACAGAAAAAGGUACCACAUGCCGUGUGUAUGUGUGUGUGUGUGGAGGGGGGGGGCGGGCGAGGGCUAAGUCCCUGAAAAAUCAAGACGACGCGAAUUUGCUUGUAGCCAGCGGGGGAAGCCUUGUCACCAAUUCAAAUAAAAGGGGGCGUUGAAAGCGUACAUGACCCCGGAUCUCGGGUUUGGAGUCUCCGGUAACAUAUGCUUGGUGCACGUAAAGGCGCGUCACGUCUUGCCCACACACCCACCGAUCCAAACACCCGCCACUAGUACCCACCUGCAGUAGACCAUGUGGAAGAAAAUGUUAUCUGAGGCCAGGCCGUUGAAGAACGAAUACACGCCGUCGCGGGCCAGCAGGCGGGGCAGGUGCAUGUGGAACUCGCGCAUCUCCUCAUAGUACUCGCCUGCGCGCAUGGCCAUGAUGUUAACGAUGAGGGGCAACAAUGAUGAAGUCGAAGGCAACUUGGCGGGCAUGGCGAUGAUAUUCUUACGAGGAUGCCAGAGCAUUGGUGUGAGCAUGGGCGGGAUGGGCAUGCGGGUGGGUGGCGGGGAAGGUGGUGCAAUAGGCACUGUCCAGUCCAUGCGACACUUACCGUACGUAUCGAAGAAUAUGCCGUCGUACGGCGCCUCCGCCAGCAGCUCCGGCAGCACGUCCUGCCAGCGGCCCCGCAGGAUGCGGACGCCGGGCUUGUCCGCCCAGCCGGUGCGGGUCAUGUGCUCCAACACGUCCGGGUGGGCCUCGAUGAUGGUGUGGCGGUCAGGCGAGUGCGUCUGUGCGGUUGGGGGUUGCGGGUUUGGGGCAGUGGGAACAAGGUAAGAGUGGCGGGAACAAGGUACCGCGGGCAGCACAACAGGUGGAGGCACGAGGUGGAGGCGCGGAGGGGGCAGGACGAGGUGCGGUGAGGUUUGGGGAAGGUGAUGCUGAAGGCGUUGUGUGCUUCUGCGUAUUGAGUCUAGCCGGUGACUUGAAUGUACAGAUCAAAGGUUGAAAGUCGAGAUCCUCGUCGUAGUGGUGGUGACGUCACGUGUGGUUUGCAACACAGCACCGGCCAGCCACGAUAAGGGGGAUUGGCGCCCAAAUCAAGGGGUGCGGGGCCGCGUGAGCCAAGGCGUGAGCGCGAGUUCUGGCUCUCACUUGGAUCGCGGUGUCCACAAUGCCCAGGCCGAAGCCCACAUUCACAACAUGACCGCCUUUCCGCCGCUUGCUGCCCGCCGCCGCCGAAGCAGCCGCUGCGGCUUGCGAUGACGGCCCUGCCUCUGCCUUUGCGGCCUCCGUCACCGCCAUGGCCUCAAUCGACUCCACCACCUGCGCCGCCACAGCCUCCUCCUCCUGGUGCUUGUGAUGGGCGUUGGGGCAGAUGACCUCUGCGUGUCGGAGCAUGAGCGGCCGCUCCCAGCCCAUCAUCACUGCCUCACCUGACACAGGUGAACAUCAGCGCAGGUGUACAGCAGGGGCAUUGUGAGGAUCUCAGAUGGCGGCGUGCGUAGCGACUCAACAGGUGGAGGCACGGCACUAGACAUCUACAAAAGGCCAUCAAUCGGAGAGCCCGUGCAACCUCAUGCUUUAUGCUUUGUCGGCCAUGCGCUUCGGGCCAUAGCGUUCCUUGCCCCAGCCUCUGCACGCCCAGCCCUGCAUCCGCCGCCUCCACCCUCUUUCACACCUCCCGCAUGCCCCUCUCCUUCCAAACCCCCCCUCCCCCUCGCCCCAUGCCCCCCUCACCGUCUGCAUCGAGCAACUGCUCCCCCCGGUACACCAGCUUCUGAGUCAGGUAGUCGCUGUUGGCCGCAGCCGAGAACGAGGGAGAGCCCACCUGCAUGCGCCUGGGCAGCACGCAGCCGUUGUUUGGUGGGCGCGCGUUUUGCAGGAGCAAGUACGCCGCUGUGCUUCACCAGGGAUGAGUGAGGUGAUGUGACAGCGGGGCCAAGCCAGGACCGCCGCAAAGCCCGUCGCCAUGGCGCCUCCUUCCCCCUUCCUCCCUGCUUCCUUGUCCCUUGCUCCCUGUUCCGCCCCCUUCCUUCUGGCCGCCCCAACCCUGCCCCCAUCCCCUCCCCCUUCCCCCAACUCGAUAGGCCUCACCUGUGCAGCGCCCCCAGCACCAGCUCCGCCUGCACUGCGAAGUCCAGCAGCAUGUCCACCGCCUCCUGCUGCCCGCUGCCCAUGGCGUACUCGCCCGCGCAGUAGCCGCUGGAGUCCUGGGCGUUCCAAGGCGCGCCAGCCUGGGGAGGGACAGCGGGUAGGAGCGGAGGUAGGAUCACGGAAGUUGGGAGCGGGUGGGUUGGCAGGUUGGGUGACCGUUUGGUAAUCAGUGUGUGUGUGUGUGUGUGUGUGUGUGUGUGUGUGUGUGUGUGUGUGUGUGUGUGUGUGUGUUAAAGAGCACAAGGAAAACAUUACGCGUAGGACUGUGUGUGUGUGCGUGUGUGUGUGUAUGUGUGCGUGUGCGUGUGCGUGUGUGUGUGUGUGUGUGUGUGUGUGUGUGUGUGUGUGUGUGUGUGUGUGCGUGUGUGUGUGUGUGUGUGUGUGUGUGUGCGUGCGUGUGUGCAUGCGUGCGUGUGUUUCGUCGUGCCCCGCCAGCUGGGAUCCUUCCUAACCGCUCCACCCUGGUCACUGCCAUGGGCCCAUGGCGGUGGGGCACGCCCGCAGUGCACUUGGUUCCAUCACUGCCCAAUGCUGCUGCCACAUCCCUCCCUGCGUUCCGCCAUGCGCCCGCCCCACAUCACCCCACCUGCAGCAGCGCCGCCAUCACCGCGGUGUGCCCCCCCUCCGCCGCCCUCAUGAGCGGACUCACGCCCUCUUCGUCCUGGAAAUCCACGUCAGCCUGCAUGUGUGAUGUGGGAGAGUGACGGUGAUCGGGGCCCGCAUCAGAGAAGAAAAUAUGAGAGCGACGGUGAAUACCCAACGUGCGAUGAGUUGGUAGGAGUGUUGGGCAAUGCAGCUGUGCAGGGCCGUGUCUCUAUGCAAGCACAAGGGCUGGGGCCUGGGCGCCAGGUAGCAUCAACGCAGCGGGGGACUGUGAUGUCUUCAUCCACCGAGUUGCGAGAGGUUGCCAGAGAUAUGGAGCUCAUGGCUUGGGGGAUGGCACGCAAAGGAUGCCGCGGCAGGUUCGACAUGCGCGUGGCCAACGGGCUUAGCACAUGUCCGAGCGAGCGCUGACAUCAUUGAUAGCUUACCUCCAGCUCAAUCAACCGCGACACCUCUUCGGCAUUACCCUCUGCGGCAGCAGCCAAAAGCUGCUCUUCAAUGGACUUUACUUCCGCCGCCGACGGCGCAGCUUCAGGAGCUGUGUGACCUUGUGUCAUUGUUGCGUUAGGCUGUAUAACUAGAAAGCGCGUUGGUUACUGGCCAGGUCGUGUUUGCAUUUUAGUGUUGAGUCGCAGCAGCAAGGUUUGGCCAACGAGAAUACGAAGACAUAGUCAAAUGCAACGGGAAAUUUAUCUGCAUGCAACUUAGCGUUCUGUGGUUGGCGGGCGCUGAAACCCUGGCGCCCAUGCGCCGGGGGGCUGUCCGCUGCGCUCCCCCACCGUCUGCAGACUGAUUCUGUCCGACGGACCGACAGCGGCUUUGGGCUCAUUACAAUCACUCUAGAGAUUAGCUAAUCAUUAAACCGUCUACGAGCUUCGCACGCUUGCCACGCGCUUCGCAAACAUCGGCUUACGCGCGCACUGCCGCACGCCCUCCUCACCGACAUCCGCCAGCACUUCAGACGAACUUGUUUGCUCCUCCAAACGUGGGCUGCCCAUACAGCACACCACUCCUCACCCGCCCUAGAGCGCCGCCUCUUCAACUCACCAAACCACCGCUUUCGACCCUCUGAGCACUUCACAGGGCCAAAUACUAAUCACCACAACCGCCAAUACCCACCCCACGCUUCCACGCCUUAACACUCACGAGCCCUUCAACUCCUGCCAGCCCCUUACAGCCCCUCAAGAUAGGCCCCUGACAGGCCCUUCCAAGUCCCUUCACAGGCCCUCGAACACGGCCAGGUGCUGGUCCAGCGUCUCCUCGUGCCGGAUCUUGCGCAGGCCGCCGUUCUCCACCAUGUACUCGGCCGGCUUCAUCUUGAGGUUGUAGUUGGAGGCCAUGGACAUGCAGUAGGCGCCCGCGUCGUGAACGACAAUGCCGUCGCCCUUGCCUGUAGGUUGAGGUUAAGAAGGAGGAAAGGGUGAUGGGUGGGCAAUCGCCUCAGCCACCCACGUUGUGGGAACUACUCCUGGUGGGAACACCCGUUACCACAGCACAGGACGAGCCUGCCUGUGUUGCAUGGGUGGCUACAGCCCCCCCCCCCCCACACACACACACACACAAAGACACCUCCCCUCCCACGGUCACUCACUGGGGGUGGCCAGCUCGCGGUCCUUGCCCAGGUAGUCGCCCGACUCGCAGAUGGGGCCCACCACAUCAAAGGUCUGGAGUGAUGGGGAAACGGCAAGAACGAGCCAGCGGCCGAAGGGGUCAGCUUGCGAGCAAUGGCUGAAGCGUAGCUGUGUAGCAGAUUGUCACGCUUGCAAAAUGCGCCGGUCAUUCCGCCCAGCCCUCUACCAACCCAGCCGCGAUCCCCCGCCCCGCCCCGCCCCGCCCCGCCCGUUCGCCUUGCAUUCUCCCGUGCCUGCAGCCCGCCCCACGGGCCCGCACCUGCACGGGGGUGCUGUGGGGCUUGGUGAGCUCGAUGUGCUGGUAGGCGCCGUACAGCGAGGGGCGGAUGAGGGUGGCCAUAGAGCCGUCAAUGACAAUGAAGUUCUUGUUACCGUUGGUCUUCACGCCUGGAAAGGGGGAGGGCGGAAGUGGUGGCGGGGUGUAAGUAGAGGUUACAAGGUGGCAGUAGGAAGGGCGGCGACAAUGAGUGCAUCCCUACUGGCGGUAUUACUUAGUAGCAGCUGCAUGAGCCCAACACGUGCCCCUUCACUUUGACACUAACCCAUACUGCCCCCGGC